rnacentral:lncRNA from 1 species
UUCUUGUUUGUCUUUUCUUGUUUUCAAAAUCUGCUCUAGAUCUUUUGGGUAGGUUCUGUUUGAGUGCCUCCUUCUAAAUAGCCUGUUUUUAUUUGCUUGUCUUGUUGGCUGUCUUGGUUGUGUCAAUCACGUGUAAAUCUGUUCAGCUGAUUUUAAUUGGAGCUUUUUGUUGAUUUCUUAAUCUGAUCUUGAGUCUGCUGUUUUGUCAUUCAUUGUCUUGUUCCUAAAUUCUUUUAAGUGGUUGAUCCGUGCUGUUUAUUCCAUCACCUUGCUUAGCCUACCAAUUUUAAUGAAUUGAGAAAUCUGAUGCUAUUAUGGAUUAAUGAAAAGGAAAGGUAUUUGUGAGUGGUAGCAUCCUAGGUGGUGGAGAUCCACAGGAUUCUUUGGC